AACGAACGCUGGCGGCAUGCUUAACACAUGCAAGUCGAACGGAAAGGCCCUGCUUUUGUGGGGUGCUCGAGGGGCGAAGGGGUGAGUAACCCGUGAGUACCCUGCCCUUGACUUUGGGAUGUCUUCAUGAAACUGGGGCUCAUACCGGCUAGGAGCUCCUGCUGCAUGGUGGGGGUUGGAAAGUUUCGGCGGUUGGGGAUGGACUCGCGGCUUAUCAGCUUGUUGGUGGGGUAGUGGCUUAGCAAGGCUUUGAAGGGUAGCCGGCCUGCGAGGGUGAGCGGCUACAUUGGGACUGAGAUACGGCCCAGACUCCUACGGGAGGCAGCAGUGGGGAAUAGUGCACAAUGGGCGGAAGCCUGAGGCAGCAACGCCGCGUGCGGGAUGACGGCCUUCGGGUUGUAAAGCGCAUUCGCCUGUGACGAAGCGUGAGUGACGGUAAUGGGUAAAGAAGCACCGGCUAACUACGUG
rnacentral:rRNA from 1 species